rnacentral:misc_RNA from 1 species
CUUGCGUUAUGACUGGCAGUAUCACGAACCAUUAGCGACAAUUUCCUGCUUAUGAGAUAGGGAGGCAGCAAUACCUGCAAACCAAGCUACUCUCAUGAGUUGAAUACCGAGUAUAAGUACCCACCAGCAAACCAAUCCUCUGAUUGUGUGCAUCAUCCAGGCCGGUGCACUGAGCUCAGCCCCAAGUUUCAACCCUCUCAUCAGCUGCAAAACUCGAUAACCCUCGUAUACAAUUGGAGUAACCAGCCAAACAGGCGAUCGCCAGUGCCACGUCAGCAUUUCGGUCAAAAUCUGUACUGAAAGG